CCGGCCAGCCCAGUCUUUGAGAAGAGCCCCAGGAUUCUCAAUAUUUCUGCCCAUGUUUGCCUUCCUUUCUGCUUCUGGCAGGGAGUGGUAAGUGAUCUCUGGGAGUCAGAAGCAGCAUCUGUAAUCUUAGGCUGUAAGUCUGCUCAUUGCCCUGUCAGCUGUUCUGUUCCAGGUGAGACCAUUGCCCGGAAUGCCAGCAUUGGCCUCCUUUCUGGGCUUGCCCUCUGCCCUUUCUGCCCCUGCAUUCGAAAGUGAUCAUGAGCUGCCCGUGCCCUGGUCAUUGGUAGUGCAGGGAGAGGAACUGCCGAGAGCACUUCCCCGUGUUUGGAGGGUCCACUCCUGUCUCUUCCAAACCCUGGAGCUUUCCCACACCUCCUCCCUCCCACCACGUCUUAGAUGGCUCCUGGUGCCUGGCAUCAUCUAGUGGGUUGUGUUGCUCUUCUCCCUGGCCCAGGGCAGUUAUUGUGAGACAUGAGGGAAGGGUGUGGGGUGAUGGGUUUGGCCUCAUGGAGCAGAAGGGCUGGGUGUGGAGCUGAGAUAGGGCUGCCCUGCUCCUUCCUCCCGGAAGCUUUCUCUGCCUCCACACCUCUCCUUCCACGUCCUUAUCCAGCCCCUGCACCAAGCUGAACCUGUGGAAAUUGUUGCCUGACUUGUUUCCUGGCUCUCUUUGCUGUGGUCUCAAGGGCAGUGUCUGAAUUUUGUUCCCUACUUUGUUAUGUCUGCCAGAUGGUCAGUAUUCUGACAGUGUGGGACAAAGGAAAAACGGCAGCCUGGGCAACCCCGCCUCUAUAAGAACUAAAAAAUUAGCCAGGCAUGGCGGUGCAUGCCCCUGUAGUCCUAGCUUCUCAGGAGGCUGAGGCAGGAGGCUCUCUUGAGCCCGGGAGGACAAGGCUGCAGUGAGCCAUGACCAUGCCACUGCACUCAGCCUGGGCAACAGAGUGAGACCCUGUCUCAAGAAAGAAAAACGAGAAAGGGAGAGUCCCUCCACUGUAAGGAGAUCGGGUUCAUUACAUUUUGGGGUGUUGGAGAAAAAUACUGAGUCAGCACCUGUGUGGGAUUGGUGGGAGCAGAUUUGGUGUUUUCCACCCCUUCACAGGAUUCUGAGGUAACUCAUUUCUGUUGGCCUUGGCCUUGUAUGGGGAGGAUUUCCCUCCAGCCUUGUAUGGGGAGGAUUUCCCUUGUAUGGGGAGGAUUUUCCCUCCAGCUUGUGGGAAAGGAAUCAAGGACCAGAGACAGGCAGGGGAGAAGAUCACUGAGGGAUUUACGGCAGCAGCCUCUGCACGGCUUCCCCACGACCUCCCCAGCUGCUUGCUGGACGCUGCUGGAGAAACAGCACAUCCCAAGAUCAUCAUGGCCCCAGCAUCCUCUUGAACUUAGUAACAGUUGGCCUGACAGAUGAAGCGGAUAUCAUCCCUGCCUUAGAAGUUCUCUAGCCCCUUUCUUAGAGAUAAGCUGCUAUUUCAUUCCUAAAAGAAGUCAUGGCUGUUCAGAGUCAUGUGCUGUUCCUGGGGCUUGGAUGAUGUAGGGGAAGCAAGGUGAAAGUGGUAUCCCGUGGUUCCACGUUCUGUCCUGCUGUGGGGCUGUCCCUCACAUGCUUUCAGUGGCUGUUGCAGAGGAAGAGCCUCCGGAAAUCUGCGUGGGUAAAGUCUCAGCCUUAGAUCCAAGGACAGUCCAAGGAAGUCCUAAGACCAUGGAGUUGGUGAUCUGGGAUCUGGGUUUGCUGAUAUUUCUCACCGUGAAUCUCUUGGUGGUGUUUGUGGGCACGAGAGGGGCAGAGAAUGGAGAGUGAGGCUACCACAUGAAGCGUCACCAGAGCUGCUCCCUGCUGCCUGCUCAGAGCACCCCGGAUCCACUGUUCAAUCUGCACAAGAUUCGGGGUCCAGACAUGGGAGACUUCAGCUGCCUCAGAGGACCGUGGACAGGGAAGGCCAGCCUCGCAUCCCUCUGUCCAUGCCUGGAAUGACUUUAAUAACCAAGAGUUUUAUUUUUGAAUUUGUAGCUGUCGUUCACUUUUUACCCACCCAUUCAAUAAACCUUACAGAAUUGC
ensembl:lncRNA SNHG17 small nucleolar RNA host gene 17